UGCCUCAAAGAGGGGGACAACAGUUGGAAACGACUGCUAAUACCGCAUAAGCCCACGACCCGGCAUCGGGUAGAGGGAAAAGGAGAAAUCCGCUUUGAGAUGGCCUCGCGUCCGAUUAGCUAGUUGGUGAGGUAACGGCCCACCAAGGCGACGAUCGGUAGCCGGACUGAGAGGUUGAACGGCCACAUUGGGACUGAGACACGGCCCAGACUCCUACGGGAGGCAGCAGUGGGGAAUAUUGCACAAUGGGGGAAACCCUGAUGCAGCGACGCCGCGUGGAGGAAGAAGGUCUUCGGAUUGUAAACUCCUGUUGUUGAGGAAGAUAAUGACGGUACUCAACAAGGAAGUGACGGCUAACUACGUGCCAGCAGCCGCGGUAAAACGUAGGUCACAAGCGUUGUCCGGAAUUACUGGGUGUAAAGGGAGCGCAGGCGGGAAGGCAAGUUGGAAGUGAAAUCCAUGGGCUCAACCCAUGAACUGCUUUCAAAACUGUUUUUCUUGAGUAGUGCAGAGGUAGGCGGAAUUCCCGGUGUAGCGGUGGAAUGCGUAGAUAUCGGGAGGAACACCAGUGGCGAAGGCGGCCUACUGGGCACCAACUGACGCUGAGGCUCGAAAGUGUGGGUAGCAAACAGGAUUAGAUACCCUGGUAGUCCACACUGUAAACGAUGAUUACUAGGUGUUGGAGGAUUGACUCCUUCAGUGCCGCAGUUAACACAAUAAGUAAUCCACCUGGGGAGUACGACCGCAAGGUUGAAACUCAAAGGAAUUGACGGGGGCCCGCACAAGCAGUGGAGUAUGUGGUUUAAUUCGACGCAACGCGAAGAACCUUACCAAGUCUUGACAUCCUGCGACGCACAUAGAAAUAUGUGUUUCCUUCGGGACGCAGAGACAGGUGGUGCAUGGUUGUCGUCAGCUCGUGUCGUGAGAUGUUGGGUUAAGUCCCGCAACGAGCGCAACCCUUAUGGUCAGUUACUACGCAAGAGGACUCUGGCCAGACUGCCGUUGACAAAACGGAGGAAGGUGGGGAUGACGUCAAAUCAUCAUGCCCUUUAUGACUUGGGCUCACACGUACUACAAUGGCGUUAAACAAAGAGAAGCAAGACCGCGAGGUGGAGCAAAACUCAGAAACAACGUCCCAGUUCGGACUGCAGGCUGCAACUCGCCUGCACGAAGUCGGAAUUGCUAGUAAUCGCAGAUCAGCAUGCUGCGGUGAAUACGUUCCCGGGCCUUGUACACACCGCCCGUCACACC
rnacentral:rRNA from 1 species